AGAGUUUGAUCCUGGCUCAGAACGAACGCUGGCGGCGUGGCUAAGACAUGCAAGUCAAACGGACCAGUAAUUUAUUAUUGGUUAGUGGCGAAAGGGUUAGUAAUGGAUAGGUAACGUACCCUAUGCUUUGGGAUAGCGUCUCCCGAUUUAUCGGGAUACCGAAAGGGGCGGUAAUACCAGAUAAUGUCAUCCCGAGCAAUCGGGAUGACCAAAGAUUUAUCGGCAAAGGAGCGGCCUAUCUCCUAUCAGCUUGUUGGUGAGGUAAUGGCUCACCAAGGCAACGACGGGUAGCGGGACUGAGAGGUUGACCCGCAACAUCGGGACUGAGACACUGCCCGGACCUCCACGGAGGGCUGCAGUAACGAAUAUUGCGCAAUGGGCGAAAGCCUGACGCAGCGACGCCGCGUGUAGGAGGAAGUCUUUCGGGAUGUAAACUACUGUCAGGGGUAAGAAAGUGCGCUUCGGCGCAUUGAUCUAACCCAGAGGAAGUCACGGCUAACUUCGUGCCAGCAGCCGCGGUAAGACGAAGGUGGCAAGCGUUGUUCGGUAUUACUGGGCUUAAAGCGUGUGUAGGCGGGAAAAUAAGCGUCCUGUGAAAUCCCUCGGCUUAACCGAGGAAUUGCGCGACGAACUGUUUUUCUUGAGGUAGGUAGGGGUGCACGGAACUCUUGGUGGAGCGGUGGAAUGCGUAGAUAUCAAGAGGAACGCCAGUGGUGAAAACGGUGCACUGGGCCUAUUCUGACGCUGAGACACGAAAGCGUGGGGAGCGAACGGGAUUAGAUACCCCGGUAGUCCACGCCGUAAACGAUGUCUACUAGGUUGUGAGUGUUCUGACACAGUCACGGCCGAAGCAAAAGUGUUAAGUAGACCGCCUGGGGAGUACGGUCGCAAGGCUAAAACUCAAAGGAAUUGACGGGGGCUCACACAAGCGGUGGAGCAUGUGGAUUAAUUCGAAGCAACGCGUAGAACCUUACCUGGGUUUGACAUGCUUGGAUGCCUAUCUGGAAACAGAUUUUGGCUGCUCUUCGGAGUGAAACUUGUACAGGUGCUGCAUGGCUGUCGUCAGCUCGUGUCGUGAGAUGUCGGGUUAAGUCCUUUAACGAGCGAAACCCUUGCCGUUAGUUGCCAGCGGGUCAUGCCGGGGACUCUAACGGGACUGCCGGUGUUAAACCGGAGGAAGGCGGGGAUGACGUCAAGUCAUCAUGGCCCUUAUGCCCAGGGCGUCACACGUGCUACAAUGGCGGCCACAGAGCGAAGCGAGACCGUGAGGUGGAGCAAAUCGCAAAAAGGUCGUCUCAGUUCGGAUUGGAGGCUGCAAUUCGCCUCCAUGAAGUCGGAAUCGCUAGUAAUCGCGUAUCAGCCAUGACGCGGUGAAUGUGUUCCUGAGCCUUGUACACACCGCCCGUCAAGUGAUGGGAGUUGGGAGUACCCGAAGUCAGGUUGUUAACCCUCGGGAAACGCCUGCCGACGGUAAGCCCGAUGACUGGCACUAAGUCGUAACAAGGUAACC
rnacentral:rRNA from 1 species